rnacentral:rRNA from 1 species
UAAUAGAAACUCAUCCUUUUGGAUGAGUUAUUUCAAUGAGUUGAAUACAAAUGAUUCUUCGAGUAGCAAGGAGAGGGCAAGUCUGGUGCCAGCAGCCGCGGUAAUUCCAGCUCUCCUAGUGUAUCUCGUUAUUGCUGCGGUUAAAAAGCUCGUAGUUGGAUCUAGGUUACGUGCCGCAGUUCGCAAUUUGCGUUAACUGUGGUCGUGACUUCUAAUUUGCUGGUUUGCGGUUGGGUUCGCCCUUCAACUGCCAGCAGGUUUACCUUGAAUAAAUCAGAGUGCUCAAUACAGGCGCUUGCUUGAAUAGCUCAUCAUGGAAUAAUGAAACAGGACUUCGGUUCUUUUUGUUGGUUCUAGAACUGAUUUAAUGGUUAAGAGGGACAAACCGGGGGCAUUCGUAUCAUUACGCGAGAGGUGAAAUUCGUGGACCGUAGUGAGACGCCCAACAGCGAAAGCAUUUGCCAAGAAUGUCUUCAUUAAUCAAGAACGAAAGUCAGAGGUUCGAAGGCGAUUAGAUACCGCCCUAGUUCUGACCGUAAACGAUGCCAUCUCGCGAUUCGGAGGGUUUUUGCCCUACCGAGGAGCUAUCCGGAAACGAAAGUCUUUCGGUUCCGGGGGUAGUAUGGUUGCAAAGCUGAAACUUAAAGAAAUUGACGGAAGGGCACCACAAGGCGUGGAGCUUGCGGCUUAAUUUGACUCAACACGGGAAAACUCACCCGGUCCGGACACCAUUAGGACUGACAGAUUGAAAGCUCUUUCUCGAUUUGGUGGUUGGUGGUGCAUGGCCGUUCUUAGUUGGUGGAGUGAUUUGUCUGGUUUAUUCCGAUAACGAGCGAGACUCUAGCCUGCUAAAUAGUUGGCGAAUCUUCGGGUUCGUAUAACUUCUUAGAGGGAUAAGCGGUGUUUAGCCGCACGAGAUUGAGCGAUAACAGGUCUGUGAUGCCCUUAGAUGUCCGGGGCUGCACGCGUGCUACACUGGUGGAGUCAGCGGGUUUUUCCUAUGCCGAAAGGUAUCGGUAAACCGUUGAAAUUCUUCCAUGUCCGGGAUAGGGUAUUGUAAUUAUUGCCCUUAAACGAGGAAUGCCUAGUAAGUGUGAGUCAUCAGCUCACGUUGAUUACGUCCCUGCCCUUUGUACACACCGCCCGUCGCUAUCCGGGACUGAACUGAUUCGAGAAGAGUGGGGACUGUGGCUUCGAGGUUUCACGACUUCGUUGUUGCGGAAACUACUUUUAUCGCAUUGGUUUGAACCGGGUAAAAGUCGUAACAAGGUAGC